rnacentral:rRNA from 1 species
CGACAAGCGGAGGAGCAUGUGGUUUAAUUCGAUGAUACGCGAGGAACUUACCUGGGCUCGAACGUAAGAUGACUGUAGGUGAAAGCUUACAUCUCUUCGGAGCAUUUUACGAGGUGCUGCAUGGUUGUCGUCAGCUCGUGCCGUGAGGUGUCGGGUUAAGUCCCAUAACGAGCGCAACCCUACCUUUAGUUGCCAUCAGGUAAUGCUGGGGACUCUAAAGGAACUGCCUACGCAAGUAGUGAGGAAGGCGGGGAUGACGUCAAAUCAGCACGGCCCUUACGUCCAGGGCUACACACGUGCUACAAUGGCCGAUACAGAGGGCAGCUACCUGGUGACAGGAUGCAAAUCUCCAAAGUCGGUCUCAGUUCGGAUCGGAGUCUGCAACCCGACUCCGUGAAGUUGGAUUCGCUAGUAAUCGCGCAUCAGCCAUGGCGCGGUGAAUACGUUCCCGGGCCUU